rnacentral:rRNA from 1 species
UACGGAGGGUGCAAGCGUUAUCCGGAUUCACUGGGUUUAAAGGGUGCGUAGGCGGGUAUAUAAGUCAGUGGUGAAAGCUCCGGGCUUAACUUGGAAACUGCCAUUGAUACUGUAUAUCUUGAAUGUCGUUGAGGUUAGCGGAAUGUUGCAUGUAGCGGUGAGAUGCUUAGAUAUGUUACAGAACACCAAUUGUGAAGACAGCUAACUAAGCGAUGAUUGACGCUGAGGCACGAAAGCGUGGGGAGCAAACAGG